GACGAACGCUGGCGGCGUGCUUAACACAUGCAAGUCGAACGGAAAGGCCCUGCUUUUGUGGGGUGCUCGAGUGGCGAACGGGUGAGUAACACGUGAGUAACCUGCCCUUGACUUUGGGAUAACUUCAGGAAACUGGGGCUAAUACCGGAUAGGAGCUCCUGCUGCAUGGUGGGGGUUGGAAAGUUUCGGCGGUUGGGGAUGGACUCGCGGCUUAUCAGCUUGUUGGUGGGGUAGUGGCUUACCAAGGCUUUGACGGGUAGCCGGCCUGAGAGGGUGACCGGCCACAUUGGGACUGAGAGACGGCCCAGACGCCUACGGGAGGCAGCAGUGGGGAAUAUGGCACAGUGGGCGGAAGCCUGAUGCAGCAACGCCGCGUGCGGGAUGACGGCCUUCGGGUUGUAAACCGCUUUCGCCUGUGACGAAGCGUGAGUGACGGUAAUGGGUAAAGAAGCACCGGCUAACUACGUG
rnacentral:rRNA from 1 species